rnacentral:rRNA from 1 species
AACGAACGCUGGCGGCAUGCCUAACACAUGCAAGUCGAACGAGACCUUCGGGUCUUGUGGCGCCCGGGUGCGUAACGCGUGGGAACCUGCCCUUAGGUUCGGACUACCUCCCCGAAAGGGGUGCUAAUACCGGAUAAUGUCUUCGGCCCAAAGAUUUAUCGCCUUAGGAUGGGCCCGCGUUGGAUUAGCUAGUUGGUAGGGUAAAAGCCUACCAAGGCGACGAUCCAUAGCUGGUCUGAGAGAAUGAUCAGCCACACUGAGACUAAGACACGGCCCAGACUCCUACGGGAGGCAGCAGUGGGGAAUAUUGGACAAUGGGCGAAAGCCUGAUCCAGCAAUGCCGCGUGAGUGAUGAAGGCCUUAGGGUUGUAAAGCUCUUUUACCCGGGAUGAUAAUGACAGUACCGGGAGAAUAAGCUCCGGCUAACUCCGUG